rnacentral:misc_RNA from 1 species
GGGAGGCAGAGAGGAUUACAAAACAAAGGACAACAAACCAAAGUUCGAUUAGUGAUAGUCACAGUUCCUCUUCAAAAUCAAAGCACUUACAAGUAAAGUUCUAAUUGAUACGCCAUAUCAGACAACUUUUGUUGGUCAUCCCUACUAAAAUUCCGCCUUAUAACCAUUUCCUGCUCCCCUCCUCUCUUAAACUGCUCCAUCUUCCCCCACCACUCAUUCUCAUUCAUCACCUCCAUCUCAGCUGCCUGCUGCCGAAGGCGUUCAGCACGCCAUACAGGAUCCCACCAUCUCUGUUCACCACCACGUCCUCCUCCUCCUCCACGACCACCACCACCACGGCCUCCGCCACUGCGUCCUCCGCCGCCGCGGCGACCGCCUCGGUAGUUCGGGCGAUAAGCCAUAACGGAACGGGAAAAAGAGUAACUCCUUUGGAGUGAUGAACGAAGAGAGGUAUUACAGAAGUGAAAACGGAGAAGGGCGGAGGAGUGUGGGUGGUUUAGAA